rnacentral:rRNA from 1 species
UACGUAGGGUGCAAGCGUUUGUCCGGAAUUAUUGGGCGUAAAGAGCUCGUAGGCGGUGUGUCGCGUCGGCCGUGAAAACCUGCAGCUUAACUGUGGGCUUGCGGUCGAUACGGGCAUCACUGGAGUUCGGCAGGGGAGACUGGAAUUCCUGGUGUAGCGGUGAAAUGCGCAGAUAUCAGGAGGAACACCGGUGGCGAAGGCGGGUCUCUGGGCCGAUACUGACGCUGAGGAGCGAAAGCGUGGGGGAGCGAACAGG